GCCUAACACAUGCAAGUCGAACGGUAACGACGGGAGCUUGCUUCCGGGCGACGAGUGGCGGACGGGUGAGUAACGCGUAGGAAUCUGCCCAGUAGUGGGGGACAACUCGAGGAAACUCGAGCUAAUACCGCAUACGCCCUACGGGGGAAAGCGGGGGAUCUUCGGACCUCGCGCUAUUGGAUGAGCCUGCGUCGGAUUAGCUUGUUGGUGGGGUAAAGGCCCACCAAGGCGACGAUCCGUAGCUGGUCUGAGAGGACGACCAGCCACACUGGGACUGAGACACGGCCCAGACUCCUACGGGAGGCAGCAGUGGGGAAUAUUGGACAAUGGGCGCAAGCCUGAUCCAGCAAUGCCGCGUGUGUGAAGAAGGCCUGCGGGUUGUAAAGCACUUUCAGUGGCGAAGAAAAGCCUGGUGACAAUACCACCGGGUCUUGACGUUAGCCACAGAAGAAGCACCGGCUAAUUCCGUGCCAGCAGCCGCGGUAAUACGGAAGGUGCAAGCGUUAAUCGGAAUUACUGGGCGUAAAGCGCGCGUAGGUGGCUUAGUCAGUCAGAUGUGAAAGCCCCGGGCUUAACCUGGGAAUUGCAUUUGAUACUGCUCGGCUAGAGUAUGGUAGAGGGAAGUGGAAUUCCGGGUGUAGCGGUGAAAUGCGUAGAUAUCCGGAGGAACACCAGUGGCGAAGGCGGCUUCCUGGACUAAUACUGACACUGAGGCGCGAAAGCGUGGGUAGCAAACAGGAUUAGAUACCCUGGUAGUCCACGCUGUAAACGAUGUCAACUAGCUGUUGGGCUCAUUUAAGGGUUUAGUGGCGCAGCUAACGCGAUAAGUUGACCGCCUGGGGAGUACGGCCGCAAGGUUAAAACUCAAAGGAAUUGACGGGGGCCCGCACAAGCGGUGGAGCA
rnacentral:rRNA from 1 species